UUUUUCUUCUCAGGAGGUGAGAACAUAGCAGGAUCGAGUCGGGGUAUGGAGUGAUGGUUCUAGGAAGAUGUUUUAGCUGUCCUCACUACUUCUGUAAAAUAGUGUAUGAAUAAUUAAUGAGGACUUAUUUGGGUGUGUAUAUUGUCUAGAAGACAAUAUUUGUAUUCAAACUCACAGUUGUAUUGUCGUAUUCUACACGACAUCUGUAUUGUCAAAGUUGUAGUUUGCUUUCUAUACCAUGUAUUUUGGCGACUCAGAAUGGGUG
rnacentral:lncRNA from 1 species